UAUAAAAUGGGGGACCUGAUCAGCAUGCCGCGUGUGUGAAGAAGGCCUUUUGGUUGUAAAGCACUUUAAGCAGUGAAGAAGACUCCUCGGUUAAUACCCGUGGACGAUGACAUUAGCUGCAGAAUAAGCACCGGCUAACUCUGUGCCAGCAGGCGCGGUAAUAA
rnacentral:rRNA from 1 species